AUCUCCAGCCCCCACCAUGAUACCUGGUGAGUGAUCAGGUCCUGACGAUAUUUGCUAAAGCCUGGAGACUCAUCUCUCUCUCUCUCUCAUCCUUGACUGACUAACUUCUUUGCUUUAUUGCCAGACAAAGCAGGAAGAAUGCCAGCUCUGUAUCACAGGAUUCCUGGGAACAGAACUACGCCCCUGGUGAAGGCUUCCAGAGUGCCAAGGAGAACCCCAGGUAUUCCAGUUACCAGGGCUCCAGGAACGGCUAUCUAGGUGGCCAUGGCUUUAAUGCCAGGGUCAUGCUGGAGACCCAGGAGCUUCUCCGACAGGAGCAGAGGCGAAAAGAGCAGCAACUGAAGAAGCAGCCACCAGCGGAUGGAGUCAGAGGGCCCUUCCGGCAAGAUGUACCCCCGUCUCCAUCUCAGGUGGCCAGGCUGAACAGACUGCAGACACCCGAGAAAGGGCGGCCCUUCUACUCCUGAGCUCAAUGGAGGAUGGCAGCAUUUUGUGUCAUGCAAUAAAGGACAUUUCCCCGUG
rnacentral:lncRNA from 1 species